UCUGCCCGCUGGCGGCGUGCCUAAUACAUGCAAGUCGAGCGAACAGACGAGGAGCUUGCUCCUCUGACGUUAGCGGCGGACGGGUGAGUAAAACGUGGAGAACCUACCUAUAAAACUGGGAUAAACUCGGGAAACCGGAGCUAAUACCGGAUAAUAUAUUGAACCGCAUGGCUCAAUAGUGAAAUACGGUUUUGCUGUCACUUAUAGAUGGAUCCGCGCCUCAUUAUCUAGUUGGUAAGGUAACGGCUUACCAAGGCAACGAUGCGUAGCCGACCUGAGAGGGUGAUCGGCCACACUGGAACUGAGACACGGUCCAGACUCCUACGGGAGGCAGCAGUAGGGAAUCUUCCGCAAUGGGCGAAAGCUUGACGGAGCAAAGCCGCGUGAGUGAUGAAGGUCUUCGGAUCGUAAAACUCUGUUAUUAGGGAAGAACAAAUGUGUAAGUAAGUAUGCACGUCUUGACGGUACCUAAUCAGAAAGCCACGGCUAACUACGUG
rnacentral:rRNA from 1 species